CGGUUAAAAAGCUCGUAGUUGGAUUUCUGUUGAGGACGGCCGGUCCGCACUAUGUGCGUGUAUCUGGUUCGGCCUUGGCAUCCUCUUGAGGAACGUUCCUGCGCUUGAUUGCGUGGGGCGGUAUUCAAGACUUUUACUUUGAGGAAAUUAGAGUGUUCACGGCAGGCAAGCGCCUUGAAUACAUUAGCAUGGAAUAAUAAUAUAGGAUCUUGGUUCUAUUUGUUGGUUUCUAGGGCUAAGGUAAUGAUUAAUAGGGAUAAUUGGGGGCAUUUGUAUUAACGCGUCAAAGGUGGAAUUCUUGGAUUGCGUUACGACAAACUACUGCGAAAGCAUUUGCCAAGGAUGUUUUCAUUGAUCA
rnacentral:rRNA from 1 species